UUUUUUUGUGAUGAAUCUCUACCGCCCCAGUCUGAAUUUCUGUGACUGAGUGGUAUGCUUCUGAUUUACC
ensembl:snoRNA SNORD31 Small nucleolar RNA SNORD31